GGAGUAACACGUCCACAGUGAUAAGUUAUAUAACAACUUUGACAGAACAAAUCCUGGACAGACAAAACAAUCUGAAAUUUCAUCCAGUCACGGUUGUCUUCGAUGAAUCUGACAGAAAGGAAGGUCUGUCAUUGUGUAUACUGAACAACAUCAUGUCUGCAGUUUCCCUUGACAAGCGAGUUGAGAUAUUUAACAACGUCAGAAGAAUCCAGUCAGUGCUGCCAAGUCUUCACUUCUCAACGAAUGACUUCAAACUUUUCUGUGACCUUCCAUUCUAUCAUCUUCAGUCUGAAAGCGUUUAUGUCAACAUAUGAACUGACCAACGUCCAGAUUGGCCAACAGAACAAUAUGGGCUGCAGUGAUAGUAA